CAGUUCCUAAAUGCUACUUAAAAAAAAAAGCAUAACCCAGAUGUUCCCUCAUUUGACCAACUCCAUCUAAGUUUAGAUGUGCAGAAGGGCUUAGAUAUAUCCAGAGUAAGCCACAUGCAACAUGUUACUUGAU